rnacentral:rRNA from 1 species
CACGCCCUAAACUAUGUCAACUAGUUGUCGGGUCUUAUUAGACUUGGUAACGUAGCUAACGCGUGAAGUUGACCGCCUGGGGAGUACGGUCGCAAGAUUAAAACUCAAAGGAAUUGACGGGGACCCGCACAAGCGGUGGAUUAUGUGGAUUAAUUCGAUGCAACGCGAAAAACCUUACCUACCCUUGACAUGUCAGAAAGUUUUCAGAGAUGAGAAUGUGCUCGAAAGAGAAUUUGAACACAGGUGC